AAUCUUGCACAAUGGAGGGAACUCUGAUGCAGCGACGUCGCGUGAACGAUGAAGGAUAUCGAGUCGUAAAGUUCUGUCCUAUGGGACAAUAAUGACGGUACCAUAGGAGGAAGACCCGGCUAACUACGUGCCAGCAGCCGCGGUAAUACGUAGGGGGCGAACGUUGUCCGGAAUUAUUGGGCGUAAAGGGUACGCAGGCGGCCAGAUAAGUCAGAUGUGAAAUCCUAGGGCUUAACCCUAGUUAGCAUUUGAAACUGUAUGGCUUGAGUUAAGGAGAGGAAAGUGGAAUUCCUGGUGUAGCGGUGAAAUGCGUAGAUAUCAGGAGGAACACCAGUGGCGAAGGCGACUUUCUGGACCUAUACUGACGCUGAGGUACGAAAGCGUGGGGAGCAAACA
rnacentral:rRNA from 1 species